AUGUAAAGUUUGAGCUUGCAUAACUGACAUGUUAUUUGUCUCACUCUAAUCUCAGGAACAGGAUCUGACUGCUGUACCCAUGUCUGUCAGCCCACACAAAUCCCCGUGGCGGAAGACCAGAAGAGGAAACUCAUUAGAAGGGACAAAACUCCCUGAGACUGGGGCUCUCUAUCGGUGAUGACCUAUGCACAGGGUAGAGGAGAUGGUUCUUUGGAAGCGGAGGUUAUUGAAGUCGCGACAGUCACAUGGUCAUUGAUACGAUCCAAGUUUCCUCGGCUUGUAAAUGCAAAGCGUUUCCUCAGAGACUUGUGAACAGAUGCUACAGAGAUGUCAACAGACACAAUUUUGAUAUGGUUUUCAAAGAAUUAUAUACUUCUAUUUA